UAUUGGGCUUUGAUGGGCCGACGCCCAAUUUGAAUUAUUAAGCCCAAGUGCGAUAUGACGGCGCUGUCGCUCCACUUCGACGCGCGGGGCGAAGUUGACCGUCUCCGUCGGCGAGAAUUCUCAGAGCACGUGAUUCGUGCGUAAGUUCUCCGAUUCCGUUUCCCAUUCAGCGUCGACGAUGCCGUGCCUUUCGGCCGUGGGGAGGUUCGGCCGUGGAUCGCUAGGUCCAGAUUUGGAGAUGAUACGGAGGGUGGGUUUUGAGCGCCGCGCCCGCUUUCUUCCAAGUGAAUGGUUUCUCGAAAGGUUUUCUGUCAAAGGUUGGGCGGUUGGCACUCCGGUCAGUAUCAAUUCCUUAAUUUGAUCGAGUAGCAAAUAGUUCGUAGAGUGGAUUGUGUUGUUCUUCGUGGAUUAGGUGCUAUCUCUGAACAGUCAUGACGACGGGGAUUCAUCGACGAAAUAGUUAAUCUUCGCAUAUUUUGGAACAUUGCCCUACGAUCAUUGAGCUGGUCUUCUUACGGGACGAAGUGGCUGUGAGGCUGUUGGAGUGAUGGUGUGGGUAAAAGACCGGUUGCAGUCUUCAAAUUUACAGUAGUAAUCUAAUCUAUAGGAUUCCAUGUUCUAAAACUUGUAUUUUUUUCUUUGUAGCUUGCUUGUGCCUUUAGUGUGAAUCGGAUAUAAUUGCUGAUAGAGUAAUUUUUGCCUUCCCCUGUUUUUGGUUACUCGGGAAUCUUUCUCUAAAUCAACAAGAAUUUGGAGGUUUCUCCAUUGAACUGGCCUUUGCGAUUUAAUGCAGCUUCAUUUCGUUCCUAGGUCCUAAGUUUCCAUUAACAAGGAUAUGCAAUAUCAACUCUCAUUGUAAAAGUUUUGAUAGAUGACUUCAGAGUUGAUUGCAAUCACAAUGAAGAUUGAUGAAUUGAUGGCAGAAUUAACAUAACAUCAUGGUAAUGGAAAAAUCAAGUUAUGAAGAAGGCAAACUCCUUUCAAACAUAUCUCUGACCUUCCAGGCAAUGACUUGUUGUCAAGGUUGCAACAUCGGGUCAUAUUCCGCCAAUUUACAUUCACGUUGAUAACUAUGGGAAAUAGUAGGAUCUUGCUGAUUGCUGGGAGGCCUACAGUUCGCAAUCUCUUUCCAAGUAAAGAAAUAAAAAAAAAAGGCAAGAUGAUUUUUACAAAUGAGGAAGCCCGCUUGAAAAUUUUGAGUGAGAAGUUCAUUUAUUGGAGUACAUCAGACCGUCUGAGCUGGUCAUCGAUUAAGCUUUUCGACGAUUGCAGAAGCUGAGAGUCGGAAUUGCAUGUACAUCUUUCGAGCUUGCGAUGCCCCGACUGAAAUGGAUUUGUUCAGGUUAAUUAUUUUUCAUGGUGUGUGACUGCCAUCAUCAAAUUGUUCAACGCCGACCUGCACGCAAUUGCUGAUUUCGAGUCAUUUUCUGCACGAACAAUCUGUGGUCUGCACCAAAUGUCUCUUACGAUCAUGUGCAUGAAGUCUCUGCUUCUGCGUGAUUCAGUUAAGUCUGCAGGCAGAACAAUCUCAAGCAUGCAGGCCUUCAAGAAUAUACUUAGUUCACCUUUCUUCUGUGAAUUGGAGCUGUCAAGAAACAAAAGUAUUAGGGUGUCGUAGUGAUACCAGAAUGCAUGCUCUCUGAUCAAUGAUCUCAUUGCAUCUGGUUGAAGAAUGUUGACUUUGACUUCGACUCAUAGGUAGAGAUUGGAGAUGGAAAUAAUCUGGAGGUGCUUUGUAUUUUAUACAGUGGAAAACUGAGAGGCUCGAUAAAGGGAGAAAAAACAUAGAGCAAUCGGCAAAUAAGAGUAUAGCUUUUAAUCUGUUAAUAAGAAUGUUACAACAGAUAAAGAGAUGUCAUGGAAUUAGAAAAUAUGCUUAAAUUUUCAUGGGAAUUAUCUUUAUUAUUAUUAUUAUUAUUAUUAUUAUUAUUUGUCUUUAUUAAUCAAAGAAGCAUCCGAGCUGGUGAUCCAUUGCUGGUUUCAAACUUGUACAAGGAUAGUGUAUGUGGCCAUUACAAGU